CCUAUUUGGUCGUAAAGUUCUUUUAGAGGGGAAGACUUUGACGGUACCCUCUGAAUAAGUGACAGCAAACUAUGUGCCAGCAGCUGCGGUAAUACAUAGGUCGCGAGCGUUAUUCGGUUUUAUUGGGCGUAAAGCAAGCGCAGGCGGAUGAACAAGUUCUGUGUUAAAAGCAGCUGCUCAACAGUUGUUUGCACCGAAUACUGUUUGUCUAGAAUGUGGUAGGAAGUUUUGGAAUUAAAUAUGGAGCGGUGGAAUGUGUAGAUAUAUUUAAGAACACCAGAGGCGAAGGCGAAAACUUAGGCCAUCAUUGACGCUUAGGCUUGAAAGUGUGGGUAGCAAAUGGGAUUAGAUACCCCAGUAGUCCACACCGUAAACGAUGGGUAUUGGAUGUCGGAUCUUGAGAUUCGGUGUUGUAGCUUACGUGUUAAAUACCCCGCCUGGGUAGUAUAUAUGCAAAUAUGAAACUCAAAGGAAUUGACGGGGACCUGAACAAGUGGUGGAACAUGUUGCUUAAUUCGAUAAUACACGAAAAACCUUACCAGGGUUUGACAUCCCUCGCGAAAMUAUGGAAACAUAGCGGAGGUUAUCGAGGUGACAGGUGGUGCAUGGUUGUCGUCAGCUCGUGUCAUGAGAUGUUUGGUUAAGUCCCGCAACGAGCGCAACCCUACUCCUUAGUUGUUUGUCUAGGGAGACUGAACAGUAAUGUAUAGGAAGGUUGGGAUCACGUCAAAUCAUCAUGCCCCUUAUGCCCUGGGCUGCAAACGUGUUACAAUGGUGGAUACAAUGUGUUGCAAUCCAGCGAUGGUGAGCUAAUCACGAAAAUCCAUCUCAGUCCGGAUAAAAGGCUGCAACUCGCCUUUUUGAAGUUGGAAUCACUAGUAA
rnacentral:rRNA from 1 species